rnacentral:rRNA from 1 species
AGAGUUUGAUCCUGGCUCAGGAUGAAUGCUGGCGGCGUGCCUAAUACAUGCAAGUCGAGCGGCAGCGCGUCUAGUUUACUAGAUGGCGGCGAGCGGCGGACGGCUGAGUAACGCGUGGGAACGUACCCCAAAGUGAGGGAUAAGCACCAGAAAUGGUGUCUAAUACCGCAUGUGCUCUAAGGAGUAAAGCUCCGGCGCUUUGGGAACGGCCUGCGCAUGAUUAGCUAGAUGGUGAGGUAAUGGCUCACCAUGGCGACGAUCAUUAGCUGGUCUGAGAGGAUGAUCAGCCAGACUGGGACUGAGACACGGCCCAGACUCCUACGGGAGGCAGCAGUAGGGAAUUUUCCACAAUGGGCGAAAGCCUGAUGGAGCAACGCCGCGUGCAGGAUGAAUGCCUUCGGGUUGUAAACUGCUUUUAUAUGUGACGAAUAUGACGGUAGCAUAUGAAUAAGGAUCGGCUAACUCCGUGCCAGCAGCCGCGGUCAUACGGAGGAUCCAAGCGUUAUCCGGAAUUACUGGGCGUAAAGAGUUGCGUAGGCGGCAUAGUAAGCAGAUAGUGAAAGCGUGUGGCUCAACCAUACUCACAUUAUCUGAACUGCUAAGCUAAAGGACGAGAGAGGUCACUGGAAUUCCUAGUGUAGGAGUGAAAUCCGUAGAUAUUAGGAGGAACACCAAUGGCGUAGGCAGGUGACUGGCUCGUUCCUGACGCUCAGGCACGAAAGCGUGGGGAGCAAACGGGAUUAGAUACCCCGGUAGUCCACGCCGUAAACGAUGGAUGCUAGCUGUUAGAGGUAUCG